GUUUUGAAGAAAAAAACCAAACAAAACCAGGAGCUACAGUUCUACCCAUAUCCAAGAGAAGAUGGUAACUCUACCAUAGAAGAUGUGAGGUAAGAUGGACAGCAGAUGACCCUGGAAGAGAUGGAAUCUAGAAGUUGGUUACAGAGAUAAGCUCAAUGACUAUCAGCUCAGCAACAUUUGUGAAUAGAAAGAUGCCUCUCCCAACAAGACUUAUAGACAUGGAGGGAAACCACAAGUUUUGGCACUGGCUUAAAUACAGCAAAAAACAAAAGAGGAGAGGCUGCUUUUCGGUAGCAAAUGUGUAGCAACAUGGACAGCAGAUGACCUUGAAGAAAGAGAUGAAGAACAGAAGCUGGGUACAGAGAGUUGCUCAGUGACUGAGAGAUCCUGGGCAUUUCCUGAGUGCAGAGCGAAGAUGUGAUGCUGCCCUGCUGAGAGAGAAUGUCACCAGAGGUGAUCCUAAAGAUUCAUAAGUGUUCCCUGCACACAUCUCCUCAACGAAUGUGCUCUGGUCACGAAGAACACUCUACGUUUUCGCCUUUGGUUUUGCCAAAUAGUCAUGUUCCUUGAAGCCUCCUCUCACUAGUGAAUCUUCCAGUGCAAGAAAGGAAGGCAAACAACAGGGUAACUGCAUCAAACAAUUAGCAUCUGUAACCUCUCCUUUUUACUCAGUGGAUGGAAGAGUUUUUCAU